CCUACGGGAUGCACCAGUGGGGAAUUUUGGACAAUGGGGGCAACCCUGAUCCAGCCAUGCCGCGUGUGUGAAGAAGGCCUUCGGGUUGUAAAGCACUUUCGGCCGGAACGAAAUCGCGCGGGUGAAUAUCCCGCGUGGAUGACGGUACCGGAAGAAGAAGCACCGGCUAACUACGUGCCAGCAGCCGCGGUAAUACGUAGGGUGCGAGCGUUAAUCGGAAUUACUGGGCGUAAAGGGUGCGCAGGCGGCGUCGCAAGUCAGGCGUGAAAUCCCCGGGCUUAACCUGGGAAUUGCACUUGAAACUACGAUGCUGGAGUAUGGCAGAGGGAGGAGGAAUUCCACGUGUAGCGGUGAAAUGCGUAGAGAUGUGGAGGAACACCGAUGGCGAAGGCAGACUCCUGGGCCAAUACUGACGCUCAUGCACGAAAGCGUGGGGAGCAGACAGGAUUAGAUACCCUCGUAGUC
rnacentral:rRNA from 1 species